rnacentral:tRNA from 1 species
GCCGAGGUGGCGGAAUUGGUAUACGCGACGGACUUAAAAUCCGUUGGUGGCAACACCUUGCGGGUUCGAGUCCCGCCCUCGGCA